rnacentral:rRNA from 1 species
GAUGAACGCUGGCGGCGUGCCUAAUACAUGCAAGUCGAGCGAACGGACGAGAAGCUUGCUUCUCUGAUGUUAGCGGCGGACGGGUGAGUAACACGUGGAUAACCUACCUAUAAGACUGGGAUAACUUCGGGAAACCGGAGCUAAUACCGGCUAAUAUUUUGAACCGCAUGGUUCAAAAGUGAAAGACGGUCUUGCUGUCACUUAUAGAUGGAUCCGCGCUGCAUUAGCUAGUUGGUAAGGUAACGGCUUACCAAGGCAACGAUGCAUAGCCGACCUGAGAGGGUGAUCGGCCACACUGGAACUGAGACACGGUCCAGACUCCUACGGGAGGCAGCAGUAGGGAAUCUUCCGCAAUGGGCGAAAGCCUGACGGAGCAACGCCGCGUGAGUGAUGAAGGUCUUCGGAUCGUAAAACUCUGUUAUUAGGGAAGAACAUAUGUGUAAGUAACUGUGCACAUCUUGACGGUACCCAAUCAGAAAGCCACGGCUAACUACGUG